UUCUUUCCCCACUCAUUGUUGAAUAAUAAACCACUAGAAAUAGCAUUCAAAUUUCACAUGGAAGCUUAUGAUAAAGGAAUUGUGAUGAUGCCAAGGGGGGUUGUUGCACAAGUGAUAAAAACUAGGAACAUAUUCUAUAGAUGCAAGUUUUAAUCAUCUGUAUUGUUAUGAGAGAACAUGGGGGAUGCUUUGUCCUUGGUAGUAUCAGUGGUGUGAAUGAAGCUGUUCUUUGUAGCGUUGUUCUUCUUCAACUUCAGAUCCUAGGGAAGAUAGAAAAAACUAUUUAUGAGUUCGUUUAAAAGAUUUGUUAUGUGGUCUAACUCUAGUUAAUACUUGAUAAUCUUAAAGGUGUCAAAAGUUAUAUCAAGCUACCCAGUGUUCAUUGAAAAAACCCUCAGCUUUUUCUCCAUUUAUGAAAUUAGAAGCAUGCAAUGUUUCUUACUCAACUUUUGUUUCUAAAUAUUUUCCAUUUAGUGUUCGAAAUGUCUGUUCUGAUAUUGAUUUCAAGUGACAAUGACAUAAUGUGGACAAGCGUUUGAUCAGACAGGUUGGAGGACAUACCGCAGGCCAGAUGAUAAGUCCGGUGGACAU
rnacentral:lncRNA from 1 species